GGUGACAGCUGGCGGGCUGCCUAAUACAUGCAAGUCGAGCGAACAGACGAGGAGCCUUCUCCUCUGGCGUUAGCGACGGACGUGUGAGUCACACGUGCCUCACAUACCUCUUAGACUGGGAUCACUUCGUGAAACCACCUCCACUAACAAAUAAUAUAUCGAACCGCUUGGUUCAAUGGAGAAAGACGUCUUUCCUGUCUCUUCUAGAUGGAUCCGCACCUCAUUAGCUAGUUGGUAAGGUAACAGCUUACCAAGGAAACGUUGCGUAGCCGACCUUGGGAGGUGAUCAGCCACACUGGAACUGAGCCACGGUCCACACUCCUACGGGAGGCAGCAUUAUGGAAUCUUCCGCAAUGGGCGAAAGCCUGACGUAGCCAUGCCGCUUGUGUGAUGAAGGUCUUCGGAUCGUAAAACACUUUUGUUAGGAAAGAACAGAUGUUAGAGUUAGUGUGCACUCUAUGACGGUACCCAAUGAGUAAUCCACGUCUAACUACAUG
rnacentral:rRNA from 1 species